rnacentral:misc_RNA from 1 species
GAUUAACCCGCGUUAGCGAUUGCAAUGGAAAGCCCACAGCUUUAGCGAUUAAUAGCGCUAAAGCGAGGACUUGAAGUGUAAAGCGCGACCCUUG